rnacentral:lncRNA from 1 species
CUCAUUUCAUUCUAGUGUCUUGUAGGAUACUUUCAUAUAACAGGCAAAACGCAUAAGAAUAUUUAAGCACAGUUACAGUGGUCUAUUUUCAGAUCCUUUUUCACCUUCACUGUAAACAGAUGAACAAAACUUCGGGAAAACUGACAGGAGAAACCGUUUGUUUCUAGUUCUCCACUAUCUUUAACACUCUUCCUCAGCGUUUGUUACCAUUGUUUAGUGCUUUUCUUUUACUCCAGCAAUUUCUGUAAUGUAAGUUAGAGUGUUUUGUUUCUGUUCCCAGGACUGGACAUUUUAAGACUGCUGGAUGUCAAGACCCAGAUGAUGCCAGGCGUUCUGGGAUGUGAUUAAGUGCCAUGAUGCUGCAAAAGCAGAGUUAAAGCUGCAUGGAAGAAAGGAAUCAUGCUUCUUUCACCCUGUGAGAUGUACUUGGGUGACCCAGUGGGAAGGAUUUAAGGCAUGUCUUCAGAAGGUCUAGGUCCCAAUCAGCACAGGAACUUGUUCUGGAAGGCAUCCAGAAAAACUGGACUGAUGAUCUUCCUCUGUAUUGCCCGUCAAAUGGACUGUCAUGGAACCACUACAAGAAAUGUAUGGCUCCAUGGCUUGGCAAUGACAGUGGCGUGCAGGUGGGGACGAGGCUCUCAAGCUCCAUAAGAAAAAUGUAAGUUUUGCUGCAGCUGUACUAGCAACAUUUCACAGUCAUUUACAAAAUAUAAUCAAGGGCCACUACAAAUAAAAAAGGGUACACAUUGUAACA